GCCAGACCUAUCGAUUUUCUCAAAGCGGAAGAGCCUUGGACCAAUCCCUUCUCCUUCCUUUUGGCGCCAAGCUCCACCCUCUUCUGUAUUACGCGUGAUUGAAGUCAACCUACUCAAACCAAUGCAGUCAGUGGCUAGUCAGAAUAGCCACUCGUGACUGUUUCACUACUAUUCCAUUCGAUAUAGACUUCUUUUUUUUCUGAGAAGUCAGAAUUUCAGCCGACAGUAUUCACGUUUUAUUUAAUCGAUUGGUAAACAGUAUGCCAUCUAACGGAUAAUUCUAUAUCUAAUAUCAACACAUUGACUUGUAGUGGAAAGGAGAGACUCGGAAUUGAAUUGAACAGUCAAACAUCACAAGACGACAAAUGACAUAUAUUCAUAUAUUACAGUGAGGGGAAUUUACGCUUAAAAUGUUGAAAGACUUGUUACCUUCAGGUCCAGCAGUUGUUCCCACACCGAAAUUGUGCAACUCCUGGCUAGACGCAUUUCUACCAGGCCACGGGACCAUAAUUUGAAUGUACUGAUUAACAAGACAAAUGUUUUUUAGUACAAAUUCUUGCAAAGA